AGGUUUGGCUGGUCCUGGACAAAACUGCCUUCUCCAGAAUGGGAUUUAGAGGAAGACCCUUCUCUCUCUAAUGUGACUGAGGAAAACAGAAGGAAGUGUUUUAAAGAAGGACCAUGAUUCGUCACUGAAGGCUCAGCUGAGAAAGCUGUGAUAACCAGGCAAACCAGAGAGGAACUUCAUCCAGUUGCCUGUCAAGAAUGUUUCUGAAAGUGCUCUCUGACAACAAUGCUAUUCACAGUCUGGAUAAUGGUACCAAGCAGGAGAAGAAACGAUGAAGUACUUGCAUGAAGGCAGCC